ensembl:snoRNA snoRNA:Me28S-A2486
GAGUGAAUGAUGAGCAAAUUUAUCGCGGCAUUGUGUCAAACUGUUUUUGGUUUUCGGCUCUCGGUUGGCCAUGUGUGUGGGCCCGACACCAUCAGGCGAUCAGACGAUCUGACGAU